rnacentral:lncRNA from 1 species
AACCGAGAAAACAAAAUAAAAAGGCAGAGAAAUAAAAGACGUCGUGACUUCGAACCUCUUCCUUGUACUCUCUAUUUUUGGUCAAUGAUAAUCUUCAUCUACCGAAGAAAUCGAUUUCUCCAUAGCUUCUGGUUCUGGAUUUCAAGCUUCAACAAAUAUCCGAUAUUACUUCUCGAUUUCUAGCUUCAACAAAUAUCGACGGCUUUGGUGUCGAUCUCCUUAUCCCCGAUUUCUUUGUGUUUCGAUUUUGCAAAACUAAUUCAAGUCAUAGGUAAUUAUUGGAUUUCUACUUUAAACGAUGUAUGAUUCUUAAUCAAUUUAUUAUUUUGAUUAUUUGGUUGAUUUAUAUAUAAAUAAAAUAAGAAUUUUAACAUCCCAUUUAACCUCUCAAAUUGAAAUUGUAAUAAAGUGAUUUGUGAAUGUAUUUUGAUCAGAAUCUAACCGUAAGGAACAUAUGAAUCUGCUAUUUAACUUUUUAGAUUUCCAAGUAUUAAUAUUGUGGAGAAAAUAAGGAUUAUUAUUGGUUUUUGUUUCAUUAUUUUGUAAAUUAUUUGUCGUUGCUUUGAAGUCAUAACCUCAUACGAUCUUGGAACAAGUUGAGUUUUUUCCCAGAUUGUUGUCAUUUGUAUUGGCUUCAUUAUAGGAUAAAAAAACAGAUUAAUUGGUUAAGAAUUGAUUCGCUCAUAGCCAUAAACAGGUGGUGCUAGAGGUGUUAGUUUUUGUUCAGCAUUUUGUAAAAUUUAGCCCAACUUUGAAAAGUCAUAAAUUCCUCAUACAACCUCAAAAUAUCUGACUUUUUUCCCCGAUUGUAGUCCUCUGUAUUGACUUUAUAUUAUGCUAAAAAACCAUGUUAACUGGGUAAGAAUUGAUUGACUUAUACAACCCUAAACAUGGGCUGUUAGAGUUGUUUUUUGUAUCAACAUUUUGUAAAAUUUUAGCCCAACUUUAAACAACCAUAAAUUUCUCAUACGAUCUCGGAACGAGCCGAUAUUUAUCUCAGAUUGUAGUCCUAUAUCUUGGCUUCAUUUUAUGAUUAAAAACAUCUUAAUUGGUUAAGAACUGACGAACUUACGUGGUCCUAAACAGGGUUUGUUAGAGCUAUUCGGUUUUUUGUGUUUUGUUUUUUUAUUUUUUUGGUGCAGAAGUUGAAGUUCUUAACUUAGACGGUGGGCAAAAUACGAGUAGAUUCGGUUGGGAUACAACUAAAUGAUGCGUUACUGCUAAUGCUGAAGUUAAGGCGAUUGAUAUAUUUAGCAAAUAUCAAUUCCACACCCGAUCAUUUUUUAAGAUGACGGAGUUGUUACGUGAAAAUAAUUGCGGAUGGCUCAAUAGCAUGAUUAGACUAUUUUAAGUUCUGCUUUUUUAGUUGUUACGAAUACUAAAUUUGACUUAUUGCACAUUCAUUUUUGGGCAUAAUUUUUAAGUAUUAUGAUUUUCAUAUUUCUUUAUGUCUAGAUCUAUUUGCAGCUUAUUUUUAUAUUAGAAAUAUGUUUCCAAUAGAUGAUGUAUAUAAAAUAAUAUUACCUGAUAAUAAAAUAAACUAAACAAAAUUGCAAAAAUAGUCCUUGUGAUAUGUAUUUUGGGGUUUUAGUCAAAACCAUGACUUUUUUGGAUCGUUGGUCUUUUUGAGCUAGUUUGGUUGCGUUUUUGGUCCCUCGGUAAACUAAAAUAACUGUAAUGCCUUCUGAUAUAUUUUCUUUUGUUUUUCUAUUUAAUUUAAUGUUUUAUUAAUUAAAAAUAUGUGACCCUCUCUCUCUCCACACACCAAAUAAAACCUUGCAGGUUGUUGAAUCACUUGGUCACAUAGUUUUUGGGUUAAUAAAGGUGGAGGUUGAAGGUGAUCAUGUACACAAAUUGAAGAACACAAAAUGAACCUGGAAAAAAUCUAUCAAAACCCACAUCCCCAUCUUCAAACCUCAGCCACCAGAAU